CCAGACUCCUACGGGAGGCAGCAGUGGGGAAUAUUGGGCAAUGGGCGCAAGCCUGACCCAGCAACGCCGCGUGAAGGAAGAAGGCUUUCGGGUUGUAAACUUCUUUUCUGGGGGACGAAGAAAGUGACGGUACCCCAGGAAUAAGCCACGGCUAACUACGUGCCAGCAGCCGCGGUAAUACGUAGGUGGCAAGCGUUAUCCGGAUUUAUUGGGUGUAAAGGGCGUGUAGGCGGGAAUGCAAGUCAGAUGUGAAAACUAUGGGCUCAUCCCAUAGCCUGCAUUUGAAACUGUAUUUCUUGAGUGCUGGAGAGGCAAUCGGAAUUCCGUGUGUAGCGGUGAAAUGCGUAGAUAUUAGGAGGAACACCAGUGGCGAAGGCGGCCUGCUGGACGACAACUGACGGUGAGGCGCGAAAGCGUGGGGAGCAAACAGGAUUAGAUACCCUAGUAA
rnacentral:rRNA from 1 species